rnacentral:rRNA from 1 species
CUGCGAAUGGCUCAUUAAAUCAGUUAUCGUUUAUUUGAUAGUACCUUACUACAUGGAUACCUGUGGUAAUUCUAGAGCUAAUACAUGCUGAAAACCUCGACUUCGGAAGGGGUGUAUUUAUUAGAUAAAAAACCAAUGCCCUUCGGGGCUCCUUGGUGAAUCAUAAUAACUUAACGAAUCGCAUGGCCUUGCGCCGGCGAUGGUUCAUUCAAAUUUCUGCCCUAUCAACUUUCGAUGGUAGGAUAGUGGCCUACCAUGGUGGCAACGGGUAACGGGGAAUUAGGGUUCGAUUCCGGAGAGGGAGCCUGAGAAACGGCUACCACAUCCAAGGAAGGCAGCAGGCGCGCAAAUUACCCAAUCCCGACACGGGGAGGUAGUGACAAUAAAUACUGAUACGGGGCUCUUUUGGGUCUCGUAAUUGGAAUGAGUACAAUCUAAAUCCCUUAACGAGGAACAAUUGGAGGGCAAGUCUGGUGCCAGCAGCCGCGGUAAUUCCAGCUCCAAUAGCGUAUAUUAAAGUUGUUGCAGUUAAAAAGCUCGUAGUUGAACCUUGGGUUCGGCCGGCCGGUCCGCCUCACCGCGAGUACUGUCCGGCCGUUCCUUUCCUUCUGGGGAAUCCCAUGGCCUUCACUGGCUGUGGGGGGAACCAGGACUUUUACUGUGAAAAAAUUAGAGUGUUCAAAGCAGGCCUUUG